rnacentral:ncRNA from 1 species
UUACCCCAAAAACACAUAGUUUUGGUCCUAAACUUGCCAUUGUUUUUUACCGAAUUUACACAUGCAAGCUUCAACAACCCAGUGAGAUUGCCCAAACCCCCUAAACAGCAAAAAGGAGCUGACAUCAGGAUCAGAUGUAUCUCUAGCCAAAGACGUCUUGCUUCGCCACGCCCACACGGGUACUCAGCAGUGAAUAACAUUAAUACAUGAGCGAAAGCUCGACUUAGUUACGGUAAAUAUAGCCGGUAAAUUUCGUGCCAGCCACCGCGGUUAUACGAAAGGCUAAAAACAAUGACCCACGGCGUAAAGCGUGACUAAAGGAUGUCAAAGAUUUAAAGAUAAACUACCUCAGAGUUGUAAAAUACUAUGCCUGUAGGACCCCCAACAACAAAAUGACUUUAAGAAAACAGACUACUUGACUUCACGAAAGCUAAGAAACAAACUAGGAUUAGAUACCCUACUAUGCUUAGCCCUUAACACAGACAGUACCACACACAAUACUGUUCGCCAGAGAACUACAAGUGAAAAACUAGAAACUCCAAGGACUUGGCGGUGCUCCAUACCGACCUAGAGGAGCCUGUCCUAUAAUCGAUAAUCCACGCUAUACCUCACCACUUCUUGCAACUCAGCCUAUAUACCGCCGUCGUCAGCCCACCUUAUGAAAGAAAUAAAGUGGACAAAAUAGUUAAUAACAAAAACGCCAGGUCAAGGUGUAGCACAUGAAGUGGAAGAGAUGGGCUACAUUUUCUAAUACAGAAUACACGAAUAACACAGUGAAACCUGCAUUUAAAGGUGGAUUUAGCAGUAAGGCAAACAAGAGACUUUGCCUUAACCCCGCUCUGGAGCGCGCACACACCGCCCGUCACCCUCAUCAUCAACACCAACUUAAUAUAAUAUAAAACUAUUAAUAAAACAGAUGAGGAAAGUCGUAACA